rnacentral:rRNA from 1 species
UAGGGAAUCUUCGGCAAUGGGGGGAACCCUGACCGAGCAACGCCGCGUGAGUGAAGAAGGUUUUCGGAUCGUAAAGCUCUGUUGUUAAGGAAGAACGAGUGUGAGAAUGGAAAGUUCAUACUGUGACGGUACUUAACCAGAAAGGGACGGCUAACUACGUGCCAGCAGCCGCGGUAAUACGUAGGUCCCGAGCGUUGUCCGGAUUUAUUGGGCGUAAAGCGAGCGCAGGCGGUCAAUUAAGUCUGAUGUGAAAGCCCCCGGCUCAACCGGGGAGGGUCAUUGGAAACUGGUUGACUUGAGUGCAGAAGAGGAGAGUGGAAUUCCAUGUGUAGCGGUGAAAUGCGUAGAUAUAUGGAGGAACACCAGUGGCGAAGGCGGCUCUCUGGUCUGUAACUGACGCUGAGGCUCGAAAGCGUGGGGAGCGAACAGG